rnacentral:rRNA from 1 species
AUACGGAGGGGGUUAGCGUUGUUCGGAAUUACUGGGCGUAAAGCGUACGUAGGCGGAUUGGUAAGUUAGAGGUGAAAUCCCGGGGCUCAACCCCGGAACUGCCUUUAAUACUGCCAGUCUUGAGUUCGAGAGAGGUGAGUGGAAUUCCGAGUGUAGAGGUGAAAUUCGUAGAUAUUCGGAGGAACACCAGUGGCGAAGGCGGCUCACUGGCUCGAUACUGACGCUGAGGUACGAAAGUGUGGGGAGCAAACAGGAUUAGAAACCCUAGUAGUCC